rnacentral:rRNA from 1 species
CCUACGGGUGGCUGCAGUGGGGAAUAUUGCACAAUGGGCGCAAGCCUGAUGCAGCCAUGCCGCGUGUGUGAAGAAGGCCUUCGGGUUGUAAAGCACUUUCAGCGGGGAGGAAGGCGGUGAGGUUAAUAACCUCAUCGAUUGACGUUACCCGCAGAAGAAGCACCGGCUAACUCCGUGCCAGCAGCCGCGGUAAUACGGAGGGUGCAAGCGUUAAUCGGAAUUACUGGGCGGAAAGCGCACGCAGGCGGUCUGUCAAGUCGGAUGUGAAAUCCCCGGGCUCAACCUGGGAACUGCAUUCGAAACUGGCAGGCUAGAGUCUUGUAGAGGGGGGUAGAAUUCCAGGUGUAGCGGUGAAAUGCGUAGAGAUCUGGAGGAAUACCGGUGGCGAAGGCGGCCCCCUGGACAAAGACUGACGCUCAGGUGCGAAAGCGUGGGGAGCAAACAGGAUUAGAUACCCUAGUAGUC